CUGAGAUGAUUUAUGCUUAUACUUAUCCAUCCAUUUAAGUCACAGUUAUCUAACAGAUAUAUUUUAUAUUUCAGACACUCUGUAACAAGAUGAGAGCCAAGUGGAGGAAGAAGCGUAUGCGCAGGUUGAAGCGAAAAAGGAGGAAGAUGAGGGCAAGGUCAAAGUAGAUUGCCUUCCACAUUCACCAGGAUACACUUGACACCACACAUAAUGGCUUUUGACAGUUCAAAGUUUGGAACCCUCCUUUUCCUAUUUCUAUUACUGCGACUCUAGCUUCUGCUAGCAACAGCAACAGAAAGGAAACCCUUGGAUGAUGAUGAUGAUAAAAAGAUGAUGAUGAUGAAUUGUACGAGUGCGUGUGCAGUUUAGCUGUACAGGUACCGUGCACCAAACUUUGUGACUUGUCAAUAGAUUUUCUGUAUAAACAUUGCAAAAUAUAUACAUCAUCAACUAUAACAACAGCAGCAGCAGUAGUAGCAUUACAGCAGCAGCAACAACAACAACAACACUUGAUCAUCUUUUCCAGAUCGGAAAAGGUGACAGGAACAUUCGUAUCUUUCUGCUUGGAACUAGGUUUGAAAGAACGAAGUAAACACGGCUAUUUGGCACUCGUCAUAUGAAUGGGCACUAGUUUUGAUAAAGGAAUACAUUUUGUGUUCGCGUCUCUGAAGAAAUGGGACUUGUUACUAGGCAGCACAUUCUCCAUGGAUGUUUGGCAUUAACCGUAACUUUAUCCACCAGCAAUGUUUUAUAUUGAAUUUAUUAUGUGUGAUGUGCUACUGUGGAUAGACAAUGUCUUUUCUUUAGGAACUUAGUUCUUUCUUGAUAAGAAUUAUCCAUUGUUGCUUUCAAUUUAUUGAAAUAAAAGUGUAUCUUGGUA